AUUGAACGCUGGCGGCAUGCCUUACACAUGCAAGUCGAACGGUAACAGGUCUUCGGAUGCUGACGAGUGGCGAACGGGUGAGUAAUACAUCGGAACGUGCCUAGUAGUGGGGGAUAACUACUCGAAAGAGUGGCUAAUACCGCAUGAGAUCUACGGAUGAAAGCGGGGGAUCGCAAGACCUUGUGCUACUAGAGCGGCCGAUGGCAGAUUAGGUAGUUGGUGGGAUAAAAGCUUACCAAGCCGACGAUCUGUAGCUGGUCUGAGAGGACGAUCAGCAACAAGGGGACUGAGACACGGCCCAGACUCCUACGGGAGGCAGCAGUGGGGAAUUUUGGACAAUGGGCGCAAGCCUGAUCCAGCAAUGCCGCGUGCAGGAUGAAGGCCUUCGGGUUGUAAACUGCUUUUGUACGGAACGAAAAGCCCUGGGUUAAUACCCUGGGGUCAUGACGGUACCGUAAGAAUAAGCACCGGCUAACUACGUGCCAGCCGCCGCCGUAACAC
rnacentral:rRNA from 1 species